CUGGAAUCAGAGAUCCAACAUAAAUAGGACUUGCAAAUAGCACAGAAGAUCCAGUAUUUUGCAGAGAACUGUUGACCCUUACCUCAGUCAUCUACCCUAGGUUAGAUGUUGCCUGACCUGUUGGGAUACUCGUGCAUCUUGCGCAUGUUGCUCUGGAUUGCCGGCAUUUGCAGAAUUUCUUUACUUCUGAUGCUGCCUGGCCUGCUGAGUUCCCCAGCAUUUUGUGUAUGUUGCUGGGAUUUCCAGCAUCUGCAGAUUUUCUCCUGUUUAGAAUUAAUUUAAUGAUGGAUGAAAGUCGAUUUUAAAACAUAACAAACAUGAAUAUUUCCCUUUAAAAGCAAUGGCUGAAUCGAAUUUUGACACUAGAAUUUAAGUUUUAUGCUGUAGCACUCAGAAGAUUUUGUAUGACAAAUGUGUGGUUUGGGAAUUCAGCCACGAGGGUCAGUGUGCCUGAACUGUGGGAGCAUUGAAUUUCUAGCCAUUAAAAUGAAUGAACAGAAAAUCAUGCAAGUCGUGAAUUAGUCAUGAUGGAUUCCAGAUUCAAAUUCCUGAUAUGUGUCUUGGUCAUGCAAUGCUCUGCCUUGGGAAUAGCAAAUCAUAAACACUAACUAAGAUAUUUCCUUCAGGCUAAUUGUUUUUAGAAUGCAAUGAUUAUUGUAAAAUUACAUGACAUGAAACUGAAAUACAAUAUUUUCAUUACAC